UACGGGGGGGGGCAAGCGUUGUUCGGAAUUACUGGGCGUAAAGGCUCGUAGGCGGCCAACUAAGUCGGAUGUGAAAUCCCCAGGCUCAACCUGGGAACUGCAUCCGAUACUGGAUGGCUUGAAUCCGGGAGAGGGAUGCAGAAUUCCAGGUGUAGCGGUGAAAUGCGUAGAUAUCUGGAGGAAUACCGGUGGCGAAGGCGGCAUCCUGGACCGGCAUUGACGCUGAGGAGCGAAAGCUAGGGGAGCAAACGGGG
rnacentral:rRNA from 1 species